CAUGAUGUUUGAAAGGCAUGGCUUAAAAUUUGGACGGGUACCCUGCAAUCGCUCCGGAAUAUAUUGCAAUGUUUGUUCACAAUAACGGAAUAAAAAACACGGAAACUUUCAAAGAGUUUACAGAAGCAAAAAAAAAUAAAAGAACUGCAAAAAAGAGUUACAAAAGCGAGAAAAAUAAGUGGGAAGGCGAAUAUAACUGAACAAGACGCUCUAUGGAGCGUUAACUCGCUGGGGCUAUACAAAUACGCACAUUACUGUAUAUGAUGCCAGAUACAGUACAC